rnacentral:rRNA from 1 species
CCUACGGGUGGCAGCAGUGAGGAAUAUUGGUCAAUGGACGAGAGUCUGAACCAGCCAAGUAGCGUGAAGGACGACUGCCCUAUGGGUUGUAAACUUCUUUUAUAUGGGAAUAAAAUGUUCCACGUGUGGGAUUUUGUAUGUACCCUAUGAAUAAGCAUCGGCUAACUCCGUGCCAGCAGCCGCGGUAAUACGGAGGAUCCGAGCGUUAUCCGGAUUUAUUGGGUUUAAAGGGUGCGCAGGUGGAUUGUUAAGUCCGGUGUGAAAGUUUGGGGGUCAACCGAAACAUUGCAGUUGAAACUGGCAGUCUGGAGUACAGCAGAGGUGGGCGGAAUGCGGGGUGUAGCGGUGAAAUGCAUAGAUAUCACGAAGAACUCCGAUUGCGAAGGCAGCGCACUGGACUGCAACUGACACUGAGGCUCGAAAGUGUGGGUAUCGAACAGGAUUAGAUACCCCUGUAGUC